CUCACUUCUCAUGGCAGACAAUACAGUAUACACACACAUGCGCACACACACAGACCCACAGACACUCACACAGACCCACAGAUACACACACAGAGACACACAAAGACACAUUCACACACACACAGACCCACAGACACACACACAGACCCACAGACAAACACACACAGACCCACAGAUACACACUCAGAGACACCCACAGAUACACACACAGACAUAUUCACACACACACACAGACAUAUUCACACACACACACAGACAUAUUCACACACACACACAGACAUAUUCACACACACACAGACAUAUUCACACACACACAGACACAUUCACACACACACACAGACCCACAGAGACACACACAGAGACACACACACACACAGAGACACAUUCACACACACACAGACAUAUUCACACACACACAGACACAUUCACACGCACACAGACCCACAGAUACACACACACACACAGAGACAUACACAGACACAUUCACACACACACACAUACAGAGACACACAGACACAUUCACACGCACACAGACACACAAAUACACACACACAGACACUUUCACACACAGACAUAUUCACACACACACAGACCCACAGAGACACACACACACACACACACACACAUACACAUCUCCUUCUCAGUGUCAGUGGUGAAUAUGAGGGGAGGGACAGAAAUUAGAUCUGCAUUGAUCCAGCUGGAGCAUGGACUGUCUGUGUGUCUGUCUGCCUGUGUGUGUGUGUCUGUCUGUCUGUGUGUCUGUCUGUGUGUCUGUCUGUCUGUGUGUCUGUCUGUGUGCCUGUGUGUCUGUCUUUCUGUCUGUCUUUCUGUCUGUCUGUUUGUGUGUGUAUCUGUGUUAGUUUUUUGUGUGUGUGUCUGUGAGUGUGCGUCUUUAUUUUUGUGUGUUUUGUGUGUGUGUGUGUGUGUUCACAGAACAGAUGGACUCUUCUCUAACCCACAAUUCUCCAUGGAACCCUUUAACCCUGGCUGGUGACAUCAUCAUUAACCCAGCAGAUGCCUAACCUUCUUUUCCCACUCUGCCCCG
rnacentral:lncRNA from 1 species